rnacentral:rRNA from 1 species
GGGGAGCAGCCCAGAGCCUGAAUCAGUAUGUGUGUUAGUGGAAGCGUCUGGAAAGGCGCGCGAUACAGGGUGACAGCCCCGUACACAAAAAUGCACAUGCUGUGAGCUCGAUGAGUAGGGCGGGACACGUGGUAUCCUGUCUGAAUAUGGGGGGACCAUCCUCCAAGGCUAAAUACUCCUGACUGACCGAUAGUGAACCAGUACCGUGAGGGAAAGGCGAAAAGAACCCCGGCGAGGGGAGUGAAAAAGAACCUGAAACCGUGU